rnacentral:rRNA from 1 species
GCUUGUCUCAAAGAUUAAGCCAUGCAUGUCUUAGUGUAAAUAACUCUUAUGAAACUGCGAAUGGCUCAUUAAAUCAGUUAUCGUUUAUUUGAUGGUCCCUUACUACAUGGAUAACCGUAGUAAUUCUAGAGCUAAUACAUGCACAAAGGCCCGACUCACGAAGGGCUGUAUUUAUUAGAUUUAAAGCCGACAUCUUUUGGUGAUUCAUAAUAACUUAGCGAAUCGUGACUCGUUCACGAUAAAUCAUUCAAGUUUCUGCCCUAUCAUGCUUUCGAUGGUAGUGUAUUGGACUACCAUGGCUCUCACGGGUAACGGAGAAUUAGGGUUCGAUUCCGGAGAAGGAGCCUGAGAAACGGCUACUACAUCUAAGGAAGGCAGCAGG